rnacentral:ncRNA from 2 species
CUGUCCAGUUGUGAUCUUGGUACAGUCGUCGAGCCGUGGUGUUCGGGAAAUCGGUGUGAAACCGGUGCGGCCCUCGCCACUGUGAUCGGGAGCGACGGAUCGAUCCGGCCGAGAAGAUGUCGGCCGGAGCCACUGGGGCACAGGUGCCCUGGGAAGGUGGAUCCGUCGCGUGACCAUCCCGUCAGCCAGGAGACCGGCCACGGCCCCGUAGUACCC